rnacentral:rRNA from 1 species
GACAGAGGGUGCAAACGUUGCUCGGAAUUACUGGGCGUAAAGCGCGUGUAGGUGGAUUGGUGUGUCAGAUGUGAAAGCCCUGGGCUCAACCCAGGAACUGCACCUGAAACUACCAGUCUUGAGUGGUGGAGAGGGAAGUGGAAUUCCUGGUGUAGAGGUGAAAUUCGUAGAUAUCGAGAGGAACACCUGCGGCGAAGGCGGGUUGCUGGGCUGACACUGACGCUGAGGCGCGAAAGCCAGGGGAGCGAACGGG